GGCCGCGUAGCUCAGGGGAUAGAGCGUCAGCCUCCGGAGCUGAAAGUCGCAGGUUCGAAUCCUGCCGCGGUCG
rnacentral:tRNA from 1 species